UUUGACCGUUUUUAGAUGAUGAAGACUCCCCUCCUCCUGAAGAGACAUUUGCCCCUACAUCUCUAUUCGCUUUGAUUGGAGUUGUUGAACCGGUCGUCAUUUUUAUUCUGUUGGGAUUUAUCUGCAGGAGCAAAUGCCGCAGAAACCAACUGGAAGCCCCGAACUGGCAUGAACUGAGCAGCACAGUAUUAUAUAAGGAAGCAGUGAAGGCUGAGCCAGACCACUUCAGACAGGAAGAGGCGGAGCUUUAUUCUAAGGCCAAAAUGGUCUUUUGUCAAACUAGAAAUGAAUAAAACAUGCGUGAAAGAGUUUAUCCAGAUUAGGAGAUGACUUCACCUCCUUCACGUGAGCAAUGUUUGCCUCAAGAUUUUAAAAAAUUGCUGUUUAAAAGUUAAUAUGCAAAGUUACUUCACUAUAUUGUUUUAUAAUUCAGUUUUCUCAUGUUACACAUAUAUUUUCACCUUCAGGUGUUAAUGAGU